rnacentral:rRNA from 1 species
UACGAAGGGGGCUAGCGUUGCUCGGAAUUACUGGGCGUAAAGCGCACGUAGGCGGAUUGUUAAGUCGGGGGUGAAAUCCUGGAGCUCAACUCCAGAACUGCCUUCGAUACUGGCGAUCUCGAGUUCGGGAGAGGUGAGUGGAACUGCGAGUGUAGAGGUGAAAUCGUAGAUAUUCGCAAGAACACCAGUGGCGAAGGCGGCUCACUGGCCCGAUACUGACGCUGAGGUGCGAAAGCGUGGGGAGCAAACAGG